rnacentral:rRNA from 1 species
GAUGAACGCUAGCGGCAGGCUUAAUACAUGCAAGUCGUGGGGCAGCGCAGUGUAGCAAUACAUGGGCGGCGACCGGCAAACGGGUGCGGAACACGUACGCAACCUUCCUUUAAGCGGGGAAUAGCUUUCGGAAACGAAAAUUAAUACCCCAUAAAACUGUGGUGUGGCAUCACACUACAAUUAAAGCUCCGGCACUUAAA